AGAACAUUCGGACCGUCGGUCCACCGAGAAAUAUAGCCAGAUCGGUGGAAAGCCUUCCCUUUGUCGU
rnacentral:pre_miRNA from 1 species